UCCCCUGGGGGACGGAGGCUUUGUUCAGAAAAGGAAGCUCAGUGUGUGGACGAGCUGAGGGUUGCACGAACCACAUCACUAAGUAGGGCAGGGCUGCGCACCUUCCAAAUAUAUGUUUCUUUGUUCCGAUGUUUCCCUGAGAGGUAAGCGAAGAGUGAGUCUCCCUCCUCCCCGGGCCAGAGGAAGACGCCCAACAACACUGUCAACACCAACAAGAAGGCUGCAAAGAGUGGGUGUCCUGGAAAUUCCAUCUGCAUGAAGUAUGCAGGGAAAAGCCUGGCCAGUCACCGUAGCUGGUGAAAAACAGAUUGGGCGCUCAUUGUUUGGCUCCGUGAGUAAGUCAGCAAAGAAAUGUGGGUGUGUGCGGUCAGGAGGAAAACAGACUUUUAAAAAUGUGGGAAUCCUUUUUUUAAAAUUGUUAAAGAAAAUACUUCAACGCGAUACUUUAAGCGAUUACUUAGCUCCUGAACUUAAAACACAACUAAAAAGCAAGCAUGGACCAACUCAAUGAAACCUGAACGUGGGGGGGAAAUAAAACCCUGGUACAACCAUUACCAGUAUUUUCGUGGGAUGAUCCUCAAGGCUAUUACAAAUGUCGCCAAGCCUCCGUCUAUCCUUCUAAGCCCCCGAAAGGAACGCGGUGCCCUGGAGUUUGUGAAUGAUGCAAUUUAACUGGAGACCCCCGGUGUCUCCUCCCCCACAGCGGGUCACCAUGAAUCAGAGUUUUUGUGGUUGUUCUAUUGAAACGGGCAGGCACUCGGUGGUUCGCCUUUUGUUUAAUUUGUUACAAGAUCACACAAGCUAUUUUUCAAGAGUUGCAGAAAGCAUCUUGGGAAAUCCACAAAAAUGGGCUGAAUCAUCUAACCAAAAACAGCCCAUGCCACAUCUGACUGAAUCUUGCUUUUUUUUUUUUUUUCCUCUUGGGAGAAUGCUCUCAACCUCAGUUACAUGUAAGAACGAGAAUGCAGAGAAUGAUCUAGGGUCUGAGGAGAGAGCCCAAGCAGCCUCCGACCACUGAAAUCCUGAGGAUGUUUUCACCGGGAGGGGACAGGACAGGUGACACAGUCAGCGGCCACCUGCUGCAGGUGUUCUGAAAGGUGAAGACUCACACCCAAAUGGAGAUGCUGUUGUGGAAGAGUGAUCGUCCCAGGAAUCUACAGCGAGACAGGACAGUUUAGGGGGAGGAGACCUCUCUCUCCAGGUCUCGUAUCACAAGGUACAGAGGGUGAAAUCGCAAUAUUAAUAUGAAUGUGACAUUUUACUAUGUCUCUUUCCUUCCCUAUCUCUGCUACCAGCUGUGUGACCUUGAACAAGUUACCUCGUCUGUCUGCUCCUCAAUUUCUCCAGCUGUGAAAUGGGGGUAAGGACAUGGCCUGUGGGGGGCUGUGGGGAGGACUCACUGAGUCUGUGCGCGUUAAGGACCUAGACCUACGCCUUGCGAGAGUCAGGUCUCUGGCUGCGGACUUGCAUUCUUGGGCUGCUUUCACUGUUUUAACUGUUAAUGGAAGCCAGAGCUCCAUGUGUACCACCUCUGGUGCUGGGGGUGAGGAUCAAAGGCCCCUCACCCUCGAUCGAUGGCCAGAUUUUCACCAGACUUCUCAUCCGAACCCUCUCUCGUCCCAGACGUGGAAUCGCUCAGCCCCCAGCUUCCGCAGUCACUGUAACGUGAGCUGGACACCAUCCCCUGGGGCAGAUGGGUCCCAAAUGCCAUGUGGGGGCCACACAGUGACAUGGCGGUUCCUACUCCUCCGCAGCAGCCUCUUCGAGGAAACAACUCGACCACGUGCACUGACAGAUUCUGGAAGGUUCUCCAGGGUCGGCUCCCACCGAAGAUUCCAGCACUUCUGGUGCACCCGGGGGGCUCGGCUGGUUAAGUCUUUGACUCUUGAUCUUGGCUUAGGUCACGAUGUCACAGUUCAUGGGAUGGAGCCCCCGCACUGGGCUCCGUGCUGACAGCACGAAGCCUGCUUGGGAUUCUCUCUCUCCCUCUCUCUUUCUGUUCCUCCUCUGCUCACUCUUUCUCUCUCUCAAAAUAAAUCAACUUUUAGAAAACAAGUAAAAAUAAUAAAAUAAAAUACAAUAAAAUAAUGAAAUAAAAUUCUACCAUUCCUUUUAGGCUAUGUGUUAAAUUUCCUACUCGUGUGUCCUUUCAGAUGCAAAAACCUGAGAGAAUCUUGUUGUAAAAAUAAUUUAACGGGCAGCCUGGAGGUGGGAGAGAUAUCUAAGAGUCCCAGAGAAGAAUCGUCAACUGUUGAACAAGUAUUUAUUAGGCAUCUACUAAGUGCCCAGCACUUCACUGGGGUCUGAAGAUACAGCGAAAUUGGCACAGGGUCCUUCUUCCCGACUUCGGUGGGUGAGAGACGCUUGAGAGAUGACGCAGGCAGUGCUGUGCGCUGAGCUGGA